rnacentral:rRNA from 1 species
AGAGUUUGAUCCUGCUCAGAUCAACGCUGGCGGCGUGCUAACACAUGCAAGUCGAACGCGAAGGGGCUUCGGCCUGAGUAGAGUGGCAAACGGUGAGUAACACGUGGGUGACCUGCCUUUCGAGCGGGGGAUAACGUUCCGAAAGGAGCGCUAAUACCGCAUAACAUCCCGCCUUUGGAAAGGUGGAGAUCAAAGCCGGGGAUCGCAAGACCUGGCACUUGAAGAGGGGCCCGCGCCUGAUUAGCUAGUUGGUGGGGUAAUGGCUCACCAAGGCUACGAUCAGUAUCCGGCCUGAGAGGGCGGACGGACACACUGGGACUGAGACACGGCCCAGACUCCUACGGGAGGCAGCAGUGGGGAAUUGUUCGCAAUGGGCGCAAGCCUGACGACGCAACGCCGCGUGGAGGACGAAGAUCUUCGGGUCGUAAACUCCUGUCGAGCGGGACGAAUGUUCCGCGAGCUAAUAUCUCGUGGACGUGACGGUACCGCUAAAGGAAGCCCCGGCUAACUCCGUGCCAGCAGCCGCGGUAAUACGGGGGGGGCAAGCGUUGUUCGGAAUUACUGGCGUAAAGGGCUCGUAGGCGGCCAACUAAGUCGGAUGUGAAAUCCCCAGGCUUAACCUGGGAACUGCAUCCGAUACUGGAUGGCUUGAAUUCGGGAGAGGGAUGCAGAAUUCCAGGUGUAGCGGUGAAAUGCGUAGAUAUCUGGAGGAAUACCGGUGGCGAAGGCGGCAUCCUGGACCGACAUUGACGCUGAGGAGCGAAAGCCAGGGGAGCAAACGGGAUUAGAUACCCCGGUAGUCCUGGCCCUAAACGAUGAAUGCUUGGUGUGACGGGUAUCGAUCCCUGUCGUGCCGAAGCUAACGCAUUAAGCAUUCCGCCUGGGGAGUACGGUCGCAAGGCUGAAACUCAAAUGAAUUGACGG